GGUCAAGUUAGUAAGGGCAUAUGGCGGAUGACUUGGCUAAGGUUACGAAGAAGGCCGUGGUAAGCUGCGAUAAGAUGCGGAUAGGAGCAAACAUCCUUUGACCCGCAUAUAGCCGAAUGGGGAAACCCGUGCCGUCGCAAGACGGUAUAUCCUAACCUCAAUAAAUAGGGUUAGGAGGACAACCCAGGGAAGUGAAACAUCUCAGUACCUGGAGGAAAAGAAAUCAACUGAAAUUCCCCUAGUAGUGGCGAGCGAACGGGGAACAGCCUAAACCUUUAUAGAGCAAUCUUUAAAGGGGUUGCAGGGUUUGUCUGCUUUCAAUAGCGAAGAGUUACCAAUCAAAUUAAUAGAUGAAUGGUCCUGAAAAGGCCAACCACAGAAGGUAAAAGUCCUGUAAUUAAAAUCAAUUUGACUCUUGAUGAAUUCCUAAGUACUAUCGGGCACGUGAAAUCCGGUAGGAAUCUGGGGGGACCAUCCUCCAAGGCUAAAUAUAAACCUUAGACCGAUAGUGAAAUAGUACCGCGAGGGAAAGUUGAAAAGAACCCCGGAAGGGGAGUGAAAUAGAACCUGAAACCGUAUGUCUACAAGCAAUUCUAGCACUAUGCUCUAUCGCAAGAUAGAGAACGUGCGAGGGUGUGCCUGUUGAAGAAUGAUCCGGCGAGUUGUUUUAUCGAGUAAGUUUAACCUUUAUAUGAAAGUAUAUGGGGUAGGCGAAGGGAAACCAAGUCUGAAUAAGGCGUUUAACUCGAUAGAGCAGACCCGAAGCCAUGUGAUCUAUCCUUGGUCAGGUUGAACCUUGUUUAAUCACGAGGGGAGGACCGAACUAGUUGGUGUUGCAAAACCUCUGGAUGAACUGAGGAUAGGGGUGAAAGGUCAAUCUAACAUGGUGAUAGCUGGUUCUCUCCGAAAUAGCUUUGGGGCUAGGCUGGUAAUUUAACUAUAAGGGGUAGAGCACUGGAUAAUGUAGGGUCUGUAACCCAGAUUCCGAAUUUAACCAAACUCCGAAUACUUAUAAGAAUAUUACUGGACUCAGUGCGUGAGGGAUAAGCUUCACGCGCAAAAGGGGAACAGCCCAGAUUACCGAUUAAGGUCCCUAAAUUGUGAUUAAGUGUGAAAGGACGUGAAGUUGCUUAGACAGCUAGGAGGUUGGCUUAGAAGCAGCCAUCCUUUAAAGAGUGCGUAACAGCUCACUAGUCAAGCGAUUUUGCGCUAAAAAUUUCCGGGGCUAAAUCACAUACCGAAGUCGUAAAAUUAACUAUAGUUUACUAUAGUUAUUUGGUAGGAGAGCGUUCCUAGCUGGGACGAAGGUGUACCGUAAGGAGCACUGGACUGCUAGGAAGUGAGGAUGUCGGAAUAAGUAGCGAUAAUGGUUGUGAAAAUCAACCACACCGUAAGCCUAAGGUUUCCUUGAGCAAUGUUCGUCAGCUCAGGGUUAGUCGGUCCUAAGAUGAGGCGGAAACGCGUAGUCGAUGGAAAUCCGGUUGAAAUUCCGGAACCUUUUUGAAUGCGUUAGUCACUAAUUUUGUGCGCAUCAGAGUGAAGUUAUCCCAGUGAUGGAUGUCUGGGUUUAACUCAGGCGCGAGCCUGAGGAGCACGAGUUACGCGCAAGCGUGGCGAAGUAACCAAAUCUGGUGCCUAGAAAAGCAGAAUUUAGGAGUAUUCAGAAUGACCGUACCGUAAACCAACACAGGUAGGCGGCUAGAAUAUAGUCAGGUGCGCGAGUAAACUGCUGCUAAGGAACUCGGCAAUAUGACCCCGUAACUUCGGAAUAAGGGGCGCCGUAGUAGAGCCAGAGGAAGCGUAAAGAUGAAAAAUGAAGAGGUCAAACUUGACAUUUGGAGCUCUUUGCAGGGAAUCUGGUAUUGAAAAGGUUACAAUAAAGAGUCUCAUGCGACUGUUUAACAAAAACACAGGCCUCUGCUUAAGUCAGACGAUGACGUAUAGGGGCUGACGCCUGCCCGGUACUGGAAGGUCAAGAGGAGGAGUGCAAGCUCUGAAUUUAAGCCCCAGUAAACGGCGGCCGUAACUAUAACGGUCCUAAGGUAGCGAAAUUCCUUGUCGGGUAAGUUCCGACCUGCACGAAUGGCGUAACGAAAUGAGAACUGUCUCGGCAGCAGACUCGGCGAAUUUGUGGUAUCCGUGAAGACGCGGAUUACCUGCGGUUAGACGAAAAGACCCCGUGGAGCUUUACUGUAUCCUGAUAUUGAAUUACGGGUUAGGUUGCGUAGGAUAGGUGGGAGCCUUUGAGUCCUGGUUCUUGGAUCGGGAGGAGGCACCGGUGAAAUACCACCCUCUCUAAUUUGUGAUUCUAACUUUAACUCUGAAUCGAGUUGAAAGACAGUGUUUGGUUGGCAGUUUAACUGGGGCGGUUGCCUCCUAAAAUGUAACGGAGGUGCUCAAAGGUACCUUCAUCACGAAUAGAAAUCGUGAGUCGAGUGUAAUGGCAUAAGGGUGCUUGACUGCUAGUCCGACAGGACAAGCAGGUACGAAAGUAGGACAUAGUGAUCCGGUGGUUGCGUAUGGAAGUGCCAUCGCUCAACGGAUAAAAGCUACCCCGGGGAUAACAGGCUUAUCGGGCCCGAGAGUCCAUAUCGACGGCCCGGUUUGGCACCUCGAUGUCGGCUCAUCCCAUCCUGGGGCUGUAUAAGGUCCCAAGGGUUUGGCUGUUCGCCAAUUAAAGGGGUACGUGAGCUGGGUUCAGUACGUCGUGAGACAGUACGGUCUCUAUCUACCGUAGGCGGAGGAAACUUGAGAGGUUCUGUCCUUAGUACGAGAGGACCAGGAUGGACCAGCCUCUGGUGUUUCUGUUGUCGCGCCAGCGGCAUUAGCAGAGUAGCUAUUGCUGGUACGGGAUAACCGCUGAAAGCAUCUAAGCGGGAAGCCCACCUCAAGAUAAGGUUUCCCUUCUCGAUUGAGAAAUCGAGACUUAAAGUCACCAGUAGACUACUGGUUUGAUAGGUCAGAUGUGUAAGUGCUGUGAGGCAUUGAGCUGACUGAUACUAAUUGACUGUGAGUCUUGGCCAU
rnacentral:rRNA from 1 species